GUUAAGUGCUUGCAUUUAAUUGCUUUAACAUUGAGACGAGUGGCGAACUGGUGAGUAACACGUCGUGUAACCUGCCCUUGAAGUAGGGGAUAACACUUGGAAACAGGUGCUAAUACCGUAUAACAACCAAAACCACCUGGUUUUGGUUUAAAAGAUGGCUUCGGCUAUCACUUUAGGAUGGACCCGCGGCGUAUUAGCUUGUUGGUAAGGUAACGGCCUACCAAGGCAAUGAUACGUAGCCGACCUGAGAGGGUAAUCGGCCACAUUGGGACUGAGACACGGCCCAAACUCCUACGGGAGGCAGCAGUAGGGAAUCUUCCACAAUGGACGAAAGUCUGAUGGAGCAACGCCGCGUGAGUGAUGAAGGGUUUCGGCUCGUAAAACUCUGUUGUUGGAGAAGAACAGGUGUGAGAGUAACUGUUCACAUCUUGACGGUAUCCAACCAGAAAGCCACGGCUAACUACGUGCCAGCAGCCGCGGUAAUACGUAGGUGGCAAGCGUUGUCCGGAUUUAUUGGGCGUAAAGCGAGCGCAGGCGGUUUCUUAGGUCUGAUGUGAAAGCCUUCGGCUUAACCGGAGAAGUGCAUCGGAAACCAGGAGACUUGAGUGCAGAAGAGGACAGUGGAACUCCAUGUGUAGCGGUGAAAUGCGUAGAUAUAUGGAAGAACACCAGUGGCGAAGGCGGCUGUCUGGUCUGUAACUGACGCUGAGGCUCGAAAGCAUGGGUAGCGAACAGGAUUAGAUACCCUGGUAGUCCAUGCCGUANACGAUGAGUGCUAAGUGUUGGAGGGUUUCCGCCCUUCAGUACUGCAGCUAACGCAUUAAGCACUCCGCCUGGGGAGUAC
rnacentral:rRNA from 1 species